AGAGUUUGAUCCUGGCUUAGAAUGUACGUUGGCGGCGUGUUUAAUAUAUGUAAGUUGUAUGAGAAUUCUUCUGUUUGUAGAAGAUAGUAAGUGGCGUACGGGUGAGUAAUGCGUGGGUAAUUUAUCUCCGAAUCCGGGUUAAUACCGCGAAAGCGGUGUUAAUACCAGAUAAUAUUUUAUUGAUUUUGUUUGUAAAGAUCAAAGGUGGCCUCUACAUGUAAGCUACUGUUUGGAGAUGAGCCCGCGUAUCAUUAGCUUGUUGGUGGGGUAAUGGUUUACUAAGGUAAUGAUGGUUAGCUGGUCUGAGAGGAUGAUCAGCCAUACUGGAAUUGAUAUAUGGUUUAGAUUUUUAUGGGAGGUAGUAGUGAGGAAUUUUGCGCAAUGGGGGAAACCCUGACGCAGUAACGCCGCGUGAGUGAUGAAGGCUUUCGGGUCGUAAAACUCUGUCAAGUGGGAAGAAUCUAUGUCGUGCCAAUAUCACGACAUACUGACGGUACCACUGAAGGAAGCACCGGUUAACUCCGUGCCAGUAGUUGUGGUAAUACGGGGGGUGCAAGCGUUAUUCGGAAUCAUUGGGUGUAAAGUGCGCGUAGGCGGUCUUGGAAGUCAGAUGUGAAAGCCCGGGGUUUAACCCUGGAAGUGCAUUUGAAACUCUGAGACUUGAGUAUGGUAGAGGGAAGUGGAAUUUUUGGUGUAGAGGUGAAAUUUGUAGAUAUUAGGAGGAAUAUUGGUGGUGAAGGUGACUUCCUGGGCCAAUACUGACGCUGAGGCGCGAAGGCGUGGGUAGUAAAUAGGAUUAGAUAUCCUGGUAGUCCACGCAGUAAAUGUUGAUUACUAGGUGUAGCGGGUAUUGAUUUCUGCUGUGCCGCAGUUAACGCAUUAAGUGAUCCGCCUGGGGAGUAUGACCGUAAGGUUAAAACUCACAGGAAUUGACGGGGGCCCGCACAAGUGGUGGAGCAUGUGGUUUAAUUUGAUGCAAUGUGAAGAAUUUUACCUGGAUUUGAUAUUUCGAGAAAUCUUUUGAAAAAUUGAUGUGCCCUUCGGGGAAUUCGGAGACAGAUGUUGCAUGGCUGUCGUCAGCUCGUGUUGUGAGAUGUUGGGUUAAGUUUUGCAACGAGCGCAACCCCUAUCUUUAGUUACCAGCGAUUUGGUAGGGGACUUUAGAGAUACUGCCCCGGUUAACGGGGAGGAAGGUGGGGAUGACGUCAAGUCCUUAUGGCCUUUAUGUCCAGGGCUACACACGUGCUACAAUGGAUUGUAUAAAGGGUUGUUAGUUUGCGAAGGUGAGCUAACCCUAGAAAGCAGUUCUUAGUUUGGAUUGGAGUCUGUAAUUUGACUCCAUGAAGCUGGAAUCGCUAGUAAUUGCGGAUUAGUAUGCCGCGGUGAAUACGUUUUUGGGCCUUGUACAUACUGCCCGUCACACCAUGAGAGUUGAUUGUACCGGAAGUUGUUGGGCUAAUUUAUUAGGGAGGUAAGUAUUUAUGGUAUGGUUGAUGAUUGGGGUGAAGUCGUAACAAGGUA
rnacentral:rRNA from 1 species